GCUCAUGGCUCAGGAUGAACGCUAGCGGCAGGCUUAACACAUGCAAGUCGAGGGGCAGCAUAAUGGAUAGCAAUAUCUAUGGUGGCGACCGGCGCACGGGUGCGUAACGCGUAUGCAACCUACCUUUAACAGGGGGAUAACACUGAGAAAUUGGUACUAAUACCCCAUAAUAUCAUAGAAGGCAUCUUUUAUGGUUGAAAAUUCCGAUGGUUAGAGAUGGGCAUACGUUGUAUUAG
rnacentral:rRNA from 1 species